rfam:Lepisosteus oculatus linkage group LG20, whole genome shotgun sequence.
AUCCGCAGCAAUAUUACUCUGCAACUCACAACUGGCAAACCGCUGAAGCUCAGCAGGUGUGAGCCUGGUCAGUACCUGGAUGGGAGACCUCCUGGGAAAAACUAAGGUUGCUUCUGGUA